rnacentral:rRNA from 1 species
GACGAACGCUGGCGGCGUGCUUAACACAUGCAAGUCGAACGAAGUGGCGAACGGGUGAGUAACGCGUAAUCAACCUGCCCUUCAGAGGGGGACAACAGUUGGAAACGACUGCUAAUACCGCAUACUGAAGGAGGGGAUUGCGUUGGAUUGGCUAGUUGGAGGGGUAACGGCCCACCAAGGGGAUGAUCAGUAGCCGGUCUGGAGGGAGGAACGGCCACAUUGGGACUUGGGAACGGCCCCGAACCCUACGGGAGGCAACCGGGGGGAAACUUCCGCAAUGGACGAAAGUCUGACGGAGCAACGCCGCGGGAGUGGUGACGGCCUUCGGGUUGUAAAGCUCUGUUAAUCGGGACGCGGUACCGGAAUAGAAAGCCACGGCUAACUACGUGCCAGCCGCCGCGGUAAUAC